rnacentral:rRNA from 1 species
UACGAAGGGGGCUAGCGUUGCUCGGAAUUACUGGGCGUAAAGCGCACGUAGGCGGCUUUCUAAGUCGGGGGUGAAAUCCUGGAGCUCAACUCCAGAACUGCCUUCGAUACUGGAAAGCUCGAGUCCGGGAGAGGUGAGUGGAACUGCGAGUGUAGAGGUGAAAUUCGUAGAUAUUCGCAGGAACACCAGUGGCGAAGGCGGCUCACUGGUCCGGUACUGACGCUGAGGUGCGAAAGCGUGGGGAGCAAACAGG